UACGUAGGGCGCAAGCGUUAUCCGGAAUUAUUGGGCGUAAAGAGCUCGUAGGCGGUUUGUCGCGUCUGCCGUGAAAGUCCGGGGCUCAACUCCGGAUCUGCGGUGGGUACGGACAGACUAGAGUGAUGUAGGGGAGACUGGAAUUCCGUGGUGAUAGCGGUGAAAUGCGCAGAUAUCAGGAGGAACACCGAGUGGCGAAGGCAGGUCUCUGGGCGAUUAAAC
rnacentral:rRNA from 1 species